rnacentral:rRNA from 1 species
UACAGAGGUCUCAAGCGUUGUUCGGAUUCAUUGGGCGUAAAGGGUGUGUAGGUGGCGCGCUAAGUCGGGUGUGAAAUUUCGGAGCUUAACUCCGAAACUGCAUUCGAUACUGCGGUGCUUUGAGGACUGGAGAGGAGACUGGAAUUCAUGGUGUAGCAGUGAAAUGCGUAGAGAUCAUGAGGAAGACCAGAGGCGAAGGCGGCGACCUGGACAAGCACUGACACUCAACUACGAAAGCGUGGGGAGCAAACAGG